CAAUAGCGUAUAUUAAAGUUGUUGCAGUUAAAAAGCUCGUAGUUGGAUUUCUGGUGGGGCUGUCGGCCUGGCUCCGAAAGGGGUCGUGGUUAGUACACGCCUGGCCAUCCUCGGGGGAAGCUUUGCUGGCAUUAAGUUGUCGGCGGAGUGACGCUCGUCGUUUACUGUGAACAAAUUAGAGUGUUCAAAGCAGGCGUUUGCUUGAAUAUAUUAGCAUGGAAUAAUGGAAUAGGACGCUGGUUCUAUUUUGUUGGUUUUGAGAACCAGAGUAAUGAUUAAUAGGGACAGUUGGGGGCAUUCAUAUUUCAUUGUCAGAGGUGAAAUUCUUGGAUUUAUGAAAGACGAACUUCUGCGAAAGCAUUUGCCAAGGAUGUUUUCAUUAAUCAAGAACGAAAGUUGGGGGCUCGAAGACGAUCAGAUACCGU
rnacentral:rRNA from 1 species